rnacentral:rRNA from 1 species
GUGCACCAGUCGAGAAAACUUCACAAUGUGCGAAAGCACGAUGAGGGAAUCCCAAGUGCUUGCACGUAAGUGUAAGCUGUUUCUCUGUCUAAAACGCAGAGAGAGUAAGGGCUGGGUAAGACGGGUGCCAGCCGCCGCGGUAAUACCUGCAGCUCGAGUGGUGACCGUUAUUAUUGGGCCUAAAACGUCCGUAGCCGGUUUAAUAAAUGCCUGGGUAAAUCGGACCGCUUAACGGUUCGAAUUCCGGGUAGACUGUUAAACUUGAGACCGGGAGAAGUUAGAGGUACUCCUGGGGUAGAGGUGAAAUUCUGUAAAUCCGUAGGGGGACCACCAGUGGCGAAGGCGUCUAACUAGAACGGGUCUGACGGUGAGGGACGAAGCCCUGGGGCG